rnacentral:rRNA from 1 species
GUAAUACUUAGUGGCAGACGGGUGAGUAACAUGUAGGUAUCUUCCCUUUGGUGAGGAAUAACACGAGGAAACUUGUGCUAAUACCUCAUAAGUCUUUACAGAGAAAGCUUUAUGCGCCGAAGGAUGAGCCUGCAUUUGAUUAGUUUGUUGGUGGGGUAAUGGCUCACCAAGACUUUGAUCAAUAGCUGAUCUGAGAGGAUGAUCAGCCACAUUGGGACUGAGACACGGCCCAAACUCCUGCGGGAGGCAGCAGUAGGGAAUAUUGCACAAUGGAGGAAACUCUGAUGCAGCGAUGCCGCGUGAGUGAAGAAGGCCUUUGGGUUGUAAAGCUCUUUCGUCGGGGAAGAAAAUGACUGUACCCGAAUAAGAAGGUCCGGCUAACUUCGUGCCAGCAGCCGCGGUAAUACGAAGGGACCUAGCGUAGUUCGGAAUUACUGGGCUUAAAGAGUUCGUAGGUGGUUAAAAAAGUUGGUGGUGAAAUCCCAGAGCUUAACUCUGGAACUGCCAUCAAAACUUUUUAGCUAGAGUAUGAUAGAGGAAAGCAGAAUUUCUAGUGUAGAGGUGAAAUUCGUAGAUAUUAGAAAGAAUACCAAUUGCGAAGGCAGCUUUCUGGAUCAUUACUGACGCUGAGGAACGAAAGCAUGGGUAG